UGUUUUUCCCGCCUAUAUACCGCCGUCGUCAGCUUACCCUGUGAAGGUCUAAUAGUAAGCAAAAUUGGCACCGCCCAGAACGUCAGGUCGAGGUGUAGCGCAUGAGAGGGGAAGAAAUGGGCUACAUUCGCUACCACUAGCGAAUACGAACGAUGCACUGAAAACGUUCAUCUGAAGGAGGAUUUAGCAGUAAGUGGAAAAUAGAGUGUUCCGCUGAAAUCGGCUCUGAAGUGCGUACACACCGCCCGUCACUCUCCCCAAGCUCAUCACUACACAUAUAUAAAACGCCCUAAUUGCGAAGGGGAGGCAAGUCGUAACAUGGUAAGUGUACCGGAAGGUGCACUUGGAAAAA
rnacentral:rRNA from 1 species